ACCCUAACACCUGUACACAUGGAAGCUGGACUCGCACAGGACUCUCUAGUGCCCUUGUCUUCUCCAGUGCAGACCAUGGUCUUCUUGCUGUGAGCAGUGAGAGUACAUGGUCCCCUCUGUGCACACAGCUUGGGAGCCCAAUGACUGCCUGCAGCACCCCAUGCACCAGCUGUCCUCCACAGUCAGCCUGCAAGGCGAGCCAAAGGCAGAAGCUGUGGGUCUUUUUCUCACUCAUUGAAGAUAAUUUACUAUACUGCAAAGAAGGACUUGGGGG